AUUGAACGCUGGCGGCAUGCUUUACACAUGCAAGUCGAGCGGAUGAAGGGAGCUUGCUCUCUGAUUUAGCGGCGGACGGGUGAGUAAUGCCUAGGAAUCUGCCUGGUAGUGGGGGAUAACGUUCCGAAAGGAACGCUAAUACCGCAUACGUCCUACGGGAGAAAGCAGGGGACCUUCGGGCCUUGCGCUAUCAGAUGAGCCUAGGUCGGAUUAGCUAGUUGGUGAGGUAAUGGCUCACCAAGGCUACGAUCCGUAACUGGUCUGAGAGGAUGAUCAGUCACACUGGAACUGAGACACGGUCCAGACUCCUACGGGAGGCAGCAGUGGGGAAUAUUGGACAAUGGGCGAAAGCCUGACCCAGCCAUGCCGCGUGUGUGAAGAAGGUCUUCGGAUUGUAAAGCACUUUAAGUUGGGAGGAAGGGCAGUAAGUUAAUACCUUGCUGUUUUGACGUUACCGACAGAAUAAGCACCGGCUAACUUCGUGCCAGCCGCCGCCGUAAUAC
rnacentral:rRNA from 1 species